rnacentral:rRNA from 1 species
GGUCAAAAGAACUAAGGCGUUCGGUGGAUACCUAGGCACCCAGAGACGAAGAAGGGCGCAAAUACCGGCGAAACGCUUCGGGGAGCUGGCAAUGAGCUUUGAUCCGAAGAUCCCCGAAUAGGGCAACCUCUAGCACUACCUCCAUAAUUCAUAGGGAGGCAAGAGAGAACCCGGUGAACUGAAACAUCUAAGUAGCCGGAGGAAAAGAAAGCAAAAGCGAUUCCCCUAGUAGCGGCGAGCGAAAAGGGACCAGCCUAAACCUGAACCUAGUUCAGGGGUCGUGGGAAGACUAAUACUGUUCCUUCUUCUGUCACUUAUGACACAAGACUGAAUAGCAGGCAGUAGCAAAGACUUUAUAGUCAGAGCACAAGAAUUCAAAGUUUAAUACGAAGCAGCUGAAACCUGUUACCAUAGAAGGUGAAAGUCCUGUAGUAAAAAAUUCUUUGACUUUAUCUUAUAGUCUAAUCCCGAGUAGCAUGGGGCACGUGAAAUCCCGUGUGAAUCUGCGAGGACCACCUCGUAAGGCUAAAUACUCCUGGGUGACCGAUAGCGAAAUAGUACCGCGAGGGAAGGGUAAAAAGAACCCCCGUUGGGGAGUGAAAUAGAACAUGAAACCGUACGCUGACAAGCAGUGGGAGGGGCAUUUAGUCCUGACCGCGUGCCUGUUGAAGAAUGAGCCGGCGACUUGUAGGAAUUGGCGAGGUUAAGAAUUAACAUUCGAAGCCGCAGCGAAAGCAAGUAUGAAUAGUGCUAAUCAAAAGUCAUUUCUUACGGACCCGAACCCGGUCGAUCUAACCAUGUCCAGGAUGAAGCUUAGGUAACACUAAUUGGAGGUCCCGACCGACCGAUGUUGAAAAAUCGGCGGAUGAGGUGUGGUUAGGGGUGAAAUACCAAUCGAGAUCGGAGCUAGCUGGAUCUCCCCGAAAUGCGUUGAGGCGCAGCGGUGACGAAGAGCUACGUUGUGGUAAAGCACUGUUUCGAUACGGGCUGCGAAAGUGGUACCAAGUCGUAGCAAACUCUGAAUACAAUGUAUUGACUUUCCGUGAACCAGUGAGUCUAGCGGGGAUAAGCUUGUUAGACAAAAGGGAAACAGCCCAGAUCACCAGCUAAGGCCCCUAAAUGGCCACUAAGUGGAAAAGGAUGUGAGAAUGCAUAAACAACCAGGAGGUUUGCUUAGAAGCAGCCACCCUUUAAAGAGUUCGUAACAGAACACUGGUAAAGCGUUCUUGCGCCGAAAAUAACCGGGACUAAGUGGCCUGCCGAAGCUGUGAGUUACAGCUAUGCCUUUCGAUUCCGAAGAAACCCCCCCCGUCUUCUUGCCAUCUCUUCUUAUUUCUUCUGUCGAAGACAUUUCUUCGAACCGGAAGAAAAAUGGCACAAAAAAGGGGAGCUUUUUUUUUAAAGCAAAGGGUAAACUGGAAUCGCUGCCAUAACUGUUGCGGUAGGGGAGCGUUUCGUUUUCGGGUGAAGUUUUGCCGAUAGGCAAGGUGGACGAAACGAAAGUGAGAAUGUCGGCUUGAGUAACGAAAACAUUGGUGAGAAUCCAAUGCCCCGAAAACCUAAGGGUUCCUCUACAAGGUUCGUCCAUGGGGGGUUAGUCAGGUCCUAAGGCGAGGCCGAAUGGCGUAGUCGAUGGAAAACAGGUUAAUAUUCCUGUACUUAUUUUUGUGGAAACGAGGGACGGAGGAGGCUAAGCUGGGGCUGUUUUUCGGAUUGCAGCGGAAGCGUUCAAGGUUUAUAGAAUUCGAAAAAAAACGAAUAGGUUACGCUAAUUUAAUUUCUCUGUUAGACUGUUAAAGGUUUGGCAAUAAUUUCAAGAGCUAACCAACCCUUAUGGGGCGACCAAGACGUGAUCCUUUGGUUAGAUUUAGGUGCAAGCCGGAUUUAAUCAAACUAGUGACGUCAAACUUCCAAGAAAAGCUCGGAUUUUGGCUAAGUGUAAUAACAAAGCACAACACAAGAAUAACCUGUACCUGAAACCGACACAGGUAGGUUGGUAGAGUAUACCAAGGGGCGCGAGAGAACUCUCUCUAAGGAACUCGGCAAACUGGCCCCGUAACUUCGGAAGAAGGGGCGCUCUUUUAGCUUAAAACUAAAUAGAGCCGCAGUGACCAGGCCCAGGCGACUGUUUAACAAAAACACAGGUCUCCGCAAAGUCGUAAGACAACGUAUGGGGGCUGACGCCUGCCCAGUGCCGGAAGGUUAAGGAAGUUGGUUAAAGAUUUCUUGAAGCUGACGACCGAAGCCCCGGUGAACGGCGGUCGUAACUAUAACGAUCCUAAGGUAGCAAAAUUCCUUGCCAGGUAAGUUCUGGCCUGCACGAAAGGCGUAACGAUCUGGGCGCUGUCUCGGAGAGAGGCUCGGUGAAAUAGACUUGUCCGUGAAGAUGCGGACUAAUAUUACCUGGACAGAAAGACCCUAUGAAGCUUGACUGUAUCCUGGAAUUGGGUUUGGGCUUUUCUUGCGCAGUCUAGGUGGGAGGCUAUGAAGACUUCCUUCCGGGGGAGUUGGAGCCGUCAGUGAGAGACCACUCUGGAAGAGCUAAAAUUCUAAUGGUGUUCCUUGAAUCAGGACACUUGACAGUUUCAGGUGGACAGUUUUACUGGGGCGGUAGCCUCACAAAAGGUAACUGAGGCGUGCAAAGGUUCUCUCAGCCUGGACGGAAAUCAGGCAUUGAGUGCAAAGGCAGAAGAGAGCUUGACUGCAAGACCUACAAGUCGAGCAGGGGCGAAAGCCGGUCUUAGUGAUCCGACGGUGCCGUGUGGAAGGGCCGUCGCUCAACGAAUAAAAGUUACUCUAGGGAUAACAGGCUGAUCUUCCCCAAGAGUCCAUAUCGACGGGAAGGUUUGGCACCUCGAUGUCGGCUCGUUCUAGCUCAGGGCUGUAGUAGGUCCUAAGAGUUGGGCUGUUCGCCCAUUAAAAGAGUACGUGAGCUGGGUUCAAAACGUACGUGAGACAGUUUGGUCCAUAUCCGGUAGUAUCGCAGGAAUAUUGAGGGGAUUUGAUCAUAGUACGAGAGGACCUGGGAAAGCGAACCGCUGGUCUAUCAGUUCUCACUCCAGUGGGAAACGCUGAGUAGCCAUGUUCGUAACAGAUAAGCGCUGAUAGCGUCUAAGUGCGAAACUGACCCCAAGAUGAAUAUUCCCAAUGAGGCCGCGGGAAGACAAUCCGAUAUAUAGGUGUUAGGUGUAAAAUCAGCGAUGGUUGAGCCAAGACAUACUAAAGGCCGAUUGAUUUUGAC